GACGUAGGGGGCGAGCGUUGUCCGGAUUUAUUGGGCGUAAAGAGCGUGUAGGCGGCCAGAUAGGUCAGCUGUGAAAACUCGAGGCUCAACCUCGAGACGUCGGUUGAAACCAUCUGGCUAGAGUCCGGAAGAGGAGAGUGGAAUUCCCGGUGUAGCGGUGAAAUGCGCAGAUAUCGGGAAGAACACCCGUGGCGAAGGCGGCUCUCUGGGACGGUACUGACGCUGAGACGCGAAAGCGUGGGGAGCGAACAGG
rnacentral:rRNA from 1 species